GAGGAUGGGAGAGAGGAAGAAAGGGCCAGACUGUAAUAGUCAUGAGCUAGGAUUAAGCUUGGUGCUUAUUCUUUAUUUUUUUUGUUUUUUUUGUUGUUGAAGAAUAAUGGAUAGUUUCUGAAUACUGAGAAGUGAAUUUGUGGAAUAAAUCAGAGAUUGAUUUAUGAGUUAUUGAUUAUGUAAUUGAAAUACUGAGUGACUGAAUUAUAUGAGAAGUUAUUGGAAGAUUGAUUAUACAUGGAAGAUUAUGAUUGUUGUUUA
rnacentral:lncRNA from 1 species